CAGUAGCCGCGGUAAUACGUAGGUGGCAAGCGUUGUCCGGAAUUAUUGGGCGUAAAGGGCUCGCAGGCGGUUUCUUAAGUCUGAUGUGAAAGCCCCCGGCUCAACCGGGGAGGGUCAUUGGAAACUGGGAAACUUGAGUGCAGAAGAGGAGAGUGGAAUUCCACGUGUAGCGGUGAAAUGCGUAGAGAUGUGGAGGAUCACCAGUGGCGAAGGCGACUCUCUGGUCUGUAACUGACGCUGAGGAGCGAAAGCGUGGGGAGCGAACAGGAUUAGAUACCCCCGUAGUCCCUGUCUCUUAUAC
rnacentral:rRNA from 1 species